rnacentral:rRNA from 1 species
UACGAGGGGAGCAAGCGUUGUUCGGAUUUACUGGGCGUAAAGGGCGCGUAGGCGGCCACGACAAGUCACUUGUGAAAUCUCCGGGCUUAACUCGGAACGGUCAAGUGAUACUGUCGGGCUAGAGUACAGAAGGGGCAACUGGAAUUCUCGGUGUAGCGGUGAAAUGCGUAGAUAUCGAGAGGAACACCUGCGGCGAAGGCGGGUUGCUGGGCUGAUACUGACGCUGAGGCGCGAAGGCCAGGGGAGCAAACGGG